UACGUAGGUGACAAGCGUUGUCCGGAUUUACUGGGCGUAAAGAGCGCGCAGGCGGUCGAUCAAGUCGAGUGUGAAAGCCCCCGGCUCAACUGGGGAGGGUCAUUCGAUACUGAUCGACUCGAAGGCAGGAGAGGGUAGUGGAAUUCCCGGUGUAGUGGUGAAAUGCGUAGAUAUCAGGAAGAACACCUAUGGCGAAGGCAGCUCUCUGGGACGGUACUGACGCUGAGACGCGAAAGCGUGGGGAGCGAACAGG
rnacentral:rRNA from 1 species